AUGGUAACAAUUUCACAUCGGCAAGCACCUCUGCCUAGUUUUUUCAGUUCAACCUGUUGCUCUAAUAAUCUGAAGCCUGAUUCUAUGCUUGUGAAGGAUAAUUACCCAGUGAAUCCAAUUCUGGAUAUUGUGUUACUGAGGCUGCAUAUAAGAGGCAUAGAGGGUGACAAUAAGCCUGCGUAGAAAUUACCUCUGCAGCCUCCUUUGCCAAGUAUGGUCAUGU
rnacentral:lncRNA from 1 species